rnacentral:rRNA from 1 species
AUGGUGGCGCCCAACCGGAGACGCGACAGCGGCCGGAAGAAGACAGUCGUCCGCCGGAUCGAGCAAAAGGAUGCGCGGCACGUCUGCUACUCCAAUCGCCGCGCAGGGUUCUUCAAGAAGGCCAGCGAUCUGGCGGUCCUGACCGGCGCCGAGGUGGCCGCCCUCGCCUUCUCGCCGGGCGGCAACAUCUUCUCCUUC